CCUUCAGUGGACCACAGAGUGCAGGCUGAAACAAAUGACAGAGAGGAGCGAAGAGAUAGUGAAAGGUGUCACUGAAAUAACACAUUUCCAGGAUUCAAAGGAAGACAGGAAACGGAUCGAAUAAAAAACAAACAAAAAAAAACUCCACAAUGGUUUGACAGCCGUGGAUCUAUUUCUUGUUGGAGUGUGAGGAGUUUCAAGGUGAGGCUUCCCCGUUCCUGCCUGGCAACAUGGUGGACCUGUUCCUAAACCGGGUUCUGGUGGAGAACAACUCGGAUCAGGACGAGCUCAACACGGAGCGUGAGAUCAUUGGGAUCCUUGAAAACCGCAUCCUGUUGCUGUUCUUUGCCUCAGCUGAGUGCGAGAGGUGCCAGAAGUUUGUGCCCGUUCUCAACAGGUUCUUUAAGAAGCUGAAGGAUCCGGCGUACAUCGAAUAUCCCAAACUGCUCGCUCUCAUCUACGUCAGUUUGGACCAAUCUGAGGAGCAGCAGGAAAAAACUCUCAAAGAGCUCCACAAAAGGACCUUAUUCUUGGCAUUUGAGGACCCAUACAGGAAGGAGCUGCAGGCCAUGUUUAAGGUGAAGGACAUCCCAGCAGUGGUGGUCCUGCGUCCCGAUGGCUCCGUCCUCUCGCCGAAUGCCGUGCAGGACAUCUCUCAUCUCGGCACCGACUGCUUCCGCAACUGGCAGGAGUCAGCCGAGCUGGUCGAGAGGACAUUCAUGCUCAACGAGGAGUUCGAUGAUCCUAAUCUGCGGAGCGUCACCGACCCCGUGAGGAGGCUCAAGUACAAGACCGAGGACGACAAGAGGAAGAAGAGAUGGUGGAAGUUAUGGGUGAAGGGAAAAGACGGAAACGACGAGGAGGAAGAAGACGAAACCAGGGACGUGAAGAGAAAGAAUGCUGAUAAUGGCAUUUGGCCAAGAAGAUGAGAGGGUUGUUGUUUUUUAUGACAAUGCUUAUUUUUAUAAUGCCUCCUAACUAUAGAUUUAUUUUGGUUUGCUGUUUUUUGCUAAUUCCUUUCCUGUCUCCAAGAAAUCUGUGAGGAUAUAAAAUUAAUAAAGAAAAUUUAAAUGACCUGUAAUUUUUUUUAACUUUAUUUAGAUAAAACGCUCAGCAAUGUGCAAAGACAACAUUUGUUGAUUUUGCCAAAUGUUUUUGGUGUUCCGGAGAAAAAUGUGUAUGCAAAAUAUCAUUAAAUGCCAAAGAUAAGAAAACAAAAUGUAAAGCAUAGUUUUAUGAAAUGUUUUUGCUUGAUGAUGUUUUUUGUGCUAAAUAAAACAGAGGUCAACCCAUGUAGCAUGUAUACGCCAACAACUGUAAUACUUACCACACUAUGGAAUAAAACAGAUGAAUGAAAAGCUUUUCAUUUUCUGUUUAUAUUUGAGCCAAUGUUAAUAUCAUAGUUUAGCUAGCUGCUGCAGGAAGCUAGAAGAGUAUCUGUGGGAUUGCUGGUAAUCUACUGAUGGUGGCUGAUAUAUGA